GACGAACGCUGGCGGCGCGCCUAACACAUGCAAGUCGAACGGAGCUUAGAGAGCUUGCUUUUUAAGCUUAGUGGCGAACGGGUGAGUAACGCGUGAGUAACCUGCCCUAGAGUGGGGGACAACAGUUGGAAACGACUGCUAAUACCGCAUAAGCCCACGGUACCGCAUGGUACUGAGGGAAAAGGAUUUAUUCGCUUUAGGAUGGACUCGCGUCCAAUUAGCUAGUUGGUGAGGUAACGGCCCACCAAGGCGACGAUUGGUAGCCGGACUGAGAGGUUGAACGGCCACAUUGGGACUGAGACACGGCCCAGACUCCUACGGGAGGCAGCAGUGGGAGAUAUUGCACAAUGGGGGAAACCCUGAUGCAGCGACGCCGCGUGGAGGAAGAAGGUUUUCGGAUUGUAAACUCCUGUCGUUAGGGACGAUAAUGACGGUACCUAACAAGAAAGCACCGGCUAACUACGUGCCAGCAGCCGCGGUAAAACGUAGGGUGCAAGCGUUGUCCGGAAUUACUGGGUGUAAAGGGAGCGCAGGCGGGAAGACAAGUUGGAAGUGAAAACCAUGGGCUCAACCCAUGAAUUGCUUUCAAAACUGUUUUUUCUUGAGUAGUGCAGAGGUAGAUGGAAUCCCCGGUGUAGCGGUGGAAUGCGUAGAUAUCGGGAGGAACACCAGUGGCGAAGGCGGUCUACUGGGCACCAACUGACGCUGAGGCUCGAAAGCAUGGGUAGCAAACAGGAUUAGAUACCCUGGUAGUCCAUGCCGUAAACGAUGAUUACUAGGUGUUGGGGGAUUGACCCCCUCAGUGCCGCAGUUAACACAAUAAGUAAUCCACCUGGGGAGUACGACCGCAAGGUUGAAACUCAAAGGAAUUGACGGGGGCCCGCACAAGCAGUGGAGUAUGUGGUUUAAUUCGAAGCAACGCGAAGAACCUUACCAGGUCUUGACAUCCGAUGCAUAACACAGAGAUGUGUGAAAUCCUUCGGGACAUCGAGACAGGUGGUGCAUGGUUGUCGUCAGCUCGUGUCGUGAGAUGUUGGGUUAAGUCCCGCAACGAGCGCAACCCUUAUUGCCAGUUACUACGUUAAGAGGACUCUGGCGAGACUGCCGUUGACAAAACGGAGGAAGGUGGGGAUGACGUCAAAUCAUCAUGCCCUUUAUGACCUGGGCUACACACGUACUACAAUGGCGUUAAACAAAGAGAGGCAAGACCGCGAGGUGGAGCAAAACUCAAAAACAACGUCUCAGUUCAGAUUGCAGGCUGCAACUCGCCUGCAUGAAGUCGGAAUUGCUAGUAAUCGCGGAUCAGCAUGCCGCGGUGAAUACGUUCCCGGGCCUUGCACA
rnacentral:rRNA from 1 species